rnacentral:rRNA from 1 species
AUACGGAGGAUGCGAGCGUUAUCCGGAUUUAUUGGGUUUAAAGGGAGCGUAGGUGGGAUAUUAAGUCAGCUGUGAAAGUUUGGGGCUCAACCUUAAAAUUGCAGUUGAUACUGGUUUCCUUGAGUACGGUACAGGUGGGCGGAAUUUGUGGUGUAGCGGUGAAAUGCUUAGAUAUCACGAAGAACUCCGAUCGCGAAGGCAGCUCACCGGGCCGGAACUGACACUGAUGCUCGAAAGUGCGGGUAUCAAACAGGAUUAGAUACCCUGGUAGUCCGCACAGUAAACGAUGAAUACUCGCUGUUUGCGAUACACGGUAAGCGGCCAAGCGAAAGCGUUAAGUAUUCCACCUGGGGAGUACGCCGGCAACGGUGAAACUCAAAUGAAUUGACGGGG